AGUAGAGAAAAGAAAAAUCAAAGAAGAAGUUAAAAUGGUCAAAGCUGUUCUUGUUAAGCACCUUGGAGAGCGAAAAAUUGUUAUUGCUAAUAAUAGCAGUAUUAAUGAUUUUUUGAAUAAUAUUUCCAAGAAGUUUGCUAGUACAAGUGGGAACAUUUGUGGAAUCACAUGGAAUGGAUGUAAUGUCGAUGAAGAUACUUUUGUUGCCAUUCUAAAUAAGCAAAAUCUGGAAGUUGAGGCCUUGUCUUUGCCAGUGUCUAAACUUUAUUCAAGCUCUUUUUGCCAAAGUUUAAAUGAUUUUUCUCCUGUUAAAAACCCUGUAUACACCGACCUUGAAAAUUUUCAUGCUUCUUCACCACACCAGUGUUUAUCUUUACCCGUGACAAAUCUAGAGAGCACAGCUGAUGUAACUGAACCAGUUUUUAUUCAAGAAGCUUUACCUCAAAAAUGUGCAUUUUCACAGUCUUCAUUGGCAGGCAUUUCCAGUCAACCAUCCUAUACUGCUUAAGUGGCUUUAACAUCUAAUCCACUAACAAAUGCAAUCCAAAAAAUUGAUAGAACUUCUUUUGUUGGUGAUGUUAGACAACAACUCAUUAAUUACUUUCCUCUACACAUUAAACAUUUUGUUAGCAGCAAUUCUGUAGUAGAAGAUAAGAUUGUGGCCAGAGAAUUAAUGGCUUGUCUCUUAUCAUUCUGCUUCUCCCAUAUACCAACUCAUGCUAUCAUUGAAAAUAGAGUUCUUCUGCAUAAAACAUUCUUUUCAAAGUUAAAGUCGGCUUGUCUCAGCUUAUAUCCUUGUUAUGGUCAACAAUGGGAUCUCAUUUUUAAAAAGUUGCCAAACAAUUAUCGACAACGACAGUAUACCAAGUGUCACAGCUUAAAGGUGAAAAGGCUUCCACAGGUUUCUGUUUCAAAUAACAAUAGGAAACUUAAACCUGUUGUGACUGAAUUGGUAGCUAAUCAAGAGCAGUUAUUAAAAGAUGUUGAAAAUGAAUUAAAAAAAAAAAAAGCCGUCACAGCCAACCUUGUCCAUUUUAAAUAGACAACUAUUUGAUAAUGAGACAUUUAGCAUGAUACCGAAGAGAAUUAGUUUUGCUCCUACACUAAUGCUGGAGGAAGCAAUUCGUUUUUAUGCCGAUUUCAAGGAUGCUAUAAUCAAGAUUCAAGCAAUGUUAUUUUGGAUUUCUCCAGAGUCUGGUAACCACACUGAAAAUUUGUUAAAGCUCCAACAGAAACUUAUUUCCAAGAAGACAUGUGACAAAUUGUUUAUGAAAGUGGAUUGUGACUCUAUUGGAGAAUACAUAAGAGUGCCAAGUUCGUAUGGUCCCCAAGUGAUUUUUAACCACAAGGAGUAUGGCAUAAGGAGUAGACAUGGUCUUGAGAUGGACACUCAGCCAUUAGUCAGCACCAGUGAGAUGGUGGUGAUUUUAGUUAUUGUGUAUUAUUUAUUGGACUUAUCAUAUCCAUCUUGUUUUGGGCAGCUGCUUGGUUUUUUUCAAGAGAUAUGUGAAUUUGAACAAUUUAUUUUUAAAUCAAAAAAGUGCACUGCACUGUUGAACUCUUUUCGGAAUAAUGUAAAGUUUAUUUGAAAUAUAUAUGCAUGAUCCUAAACUACACGA